AGUGGCGAACGGGUGAGUAAUAUAUCGGAACGUGCCCUAGAGUGGGGGAUAACGUAGCGAAAGUUACGCUAAUACCGCAUACGAUCUAAGGAUGAAAGCAGGGGACCGCAAGGCCUUGUGCUCCUGGAGCGGCCGAUAUCUGAUUAGCUAGUUGGUGGGGUAAAGGCCUACCAAGGCAUCGAUCAGUAGCUGGUCUGAGAGGACGACCAGCCACACUGGAACUGAGACACGGUCCAGACUCCUACGGGAGGCAGCAGUGGGGAAUUUUGGACAAUGGGCGCAAGCCUGAUCCAGCAAUGCCGCGUGAGUGAAGAAGGCCUUCGGGUUGUAAAGCUCUUUUGUCAGGGAAGAAACAGUGGGGGCUAAUAUCCCCUGCUAAUGACGGUACCUGAAGAAUAAGCACCGGCUAACUACGUGCCAGCAGCCGCGGUAAUACGUAGGGUGCAAGCGUUAAUCGGAAUUACUGGGCGUAAAGCGUGCGCAGGCGGUUUUGUAAGUCUGUCGUGAAAUCCCCGGGCUCAACCUGGGAAUUGCGAUGGA
rnacentral:rRNA from 1 species